GGAUUUAUCCGUUGGUCGGGCUUUUGGGUCUGUACUGGCGUGGUGGAUUUCUACCUUCUGAAUAACCAGCAUGUCAUUAAUUUGGUGCGCUGGCGAAGCAGGACUGUUACCUUGAAAAAAUUAGAGUGCUUAAAGCAGGCUAUUGCCUGAAUACAUUAGCAUGGAAUAAUGAAAUAGGACGGCAUGGUUCUAUUUUGUUGAUUUCUAGGAUCACCGUA
rnacentral:rRNA from 1 species